AGCGACUGUGCAGGUUACCGCGGCUGCUGGCACGGAGUUAGCCGGUGCUUCUUCUGUGAGUGAUGUCCUUCCUGCCGGUUAUUGACCCGCAGGCCUUCUUCCUCACUGAAAGUGCUUUACAACCCGAAGGCCUUCUUCACACACGCGGCAUGGCUGGAUCAGGGUUGCCCCAUUGUCCAAUAUUCCCCACUGCUGCCUCCCGUAGGAGUCUGGGCCGUGUCUCAGUCCCAGUGUGGCUGAUCAUCCUCUCAGACCAGCUACGGAUCGUCGCCUUGGUGAGCCGUUACCUCACCAACCAGCUAAUCCGACAUAGGCUCAUCCGAUAGCGCGAGGCCCGAAGGUCCCCCGCUUUCCCCCGUAGGGCGUAUGUGGUAUUAGCCUGGGUUUCCCCAGGUUAUCCCCCACUACCGGGCAGAUUCCUAUGCAUUACUCACCCGUCCGCCGCUCGCCACCAGGGAGCAAGCUCCCCGUGCUGCCGCUCGACUUGCAUGUGUUAGGCCUGCCGCCAGCGUUCAAU
rnacentral:rRNA from 1 species